GAAGGGUGCUCAGAAGUCACCAGUCCAACCUCCUACUGAGAGCAGCAUCACCUCUGAUCUCAGACCAGUUGCUCAGGGUUUUAUCCAGUCAGGUCUGGAUGGAAAGCACAGCUUCCCUAGGGAACUUGCUCCAAUUCUGAUCUGGUAGGGAAAAAUAGUUUAUGGGAUCCAGUAAGAACUUUAAUGACAGAGACACAUUUAUAUUGUUGUGCACUAUUGGGAUAGAUCUGCCACAGGAAUUGGGGAAUUCCACAUUUAUUGUUACCUUUAUGACUGGAUAAUUUUCUGGGAAACAUGUCUUUUAUCAAAGAGAUGUGCAGUCCUGUACGGCUCAGUCUUGGAGCUGGGAUGUGGAAAUCUGUCCUUCCACCUCUUCUCUGAAAAUUUCAUUUGGCAAGAUGGCAACCCCAACCACUGUGAAGAGAGUAUCCUGGAAUGCACAAUAGGAAGCUGCUGGGCAGCUGGGCAUGCCAUGGGCUGUUCUCCCAGAUGCUCCUCUGCCAGUCUUUGAGGGUUCUGGAGAUGCAUCUGCUGUUUCCUACAGAGCCACAGAUGAGGAAAGAAGGCCUAGCUACUUCCCUUCAGCAACUAGGUGUGCUUCUCCUGAAAUCAGAGGGAUCUGCAGAAUCUUAAAAAGGAAAGGUUUCUGGGCCCUCCAUCCUUCUAUGCAACUAUGGUCCACUGAGAAUGGUGGCCUUGGAGGAACUGGUGUUGCACUGAAUAAUCUAUAAUUCCCUGCUUGUGGCUGGAUUUGUUUUUAAAGGGAGUCCUCAGGAGUAAAAGGCCUUCCAUGGGCACAUCACAACCCCAUCAUGGUCAUGAGCAAGGCCCAUGAGGCAGAGAGAGAGGAAAAUAAAGGCAAAAGAGGUUGCA
rnacentral:lncRNA from 1 species